UACAGAGGGUGCAAGCGUUAAUCGGAAUUACUGGGCGUAAAGCGCGCGUAGGCGGUGUGUUAAGUCGGAUGUGAAAGCCCCGGGCUCAACCUGGGAACUGCACCCGAUACUGGCCGACUAGAGUACGAGAGAGGGAGGUAGAAUUCCACGUGUAGCGGUGAAAUGCGUAGAUAUGUGGAGGAAUACCGGUGGCGAAGGCGGCCUCCUGGCUCGAUACUGACGCUGAGGUGCGAAAGCGUAGGUAGCGAACAGG
rnacentral:misc_RNA from 1 species